UAGGCGUAAAUGAUGCGAGUUAAGUGUGGGGGCAUCUACGAGAUGGCCCUGUGCUGUAGGGUAGCCGUUAAACUCGCUGCCUGGGGAGUACGGUCGCAAGGCUGAAACUUAAAGGAAUUGGCGGGGGGAGCACCACAACGGGUGGAGCCUGCGGUUUAAUUGGACUCAACGCCGGGAAGCUCACCGGGAUAAGACAGCGGAAUGAUUGCCGGGCUGAAGACCCUGCAUGACCAGCUGAGAGGAGGUGCAUGGCGUAGUCGUGU
rnacentral:rRNA from 1 species